GUGGCUGUAGCUCAGUUGGUUAGAGCAUCAGAUUGUGGUUCUGAGGGUCGGGGGUUCGAAACCCCUCAGUCACCC
rnacentral:tRNA from 1 species